rnacentral:rRNA from 1 species
UACGUAAGGGGCAAGCGUUGUCCGGAUUUAUUGGGCGUAAAGAGCGUGUAGGCGGCUAGGUAGGUCCGUUGUGAAAACUCGAGGCUCAACCUCGAGACGCCGGUGGAAACCAUCUAGCUAGAGUCCGGAAGAGGAGAGUGGAAUUCCUGGUGUAGCGGUGAAAUGCGCAGAUAUCAGGAGGAACACCGGUGGCGAAGGCGGAUCUCUGGGCCGUAACUGACGCUGAGGAGCGAAAGCAUGGGGAGCGAACAGG